GACGUAGGGCGCGAGCGUUGUCCGGAAUUAUUGGGCGUAAAGAGCUCGUAGGCGGCUUGUCACGUCGGAUGUGAAAGCCCGGGGCUUAACUCCGGGUCUGCAUUCGAUACGGGCAGGCUAGAGUUCGGUAGGGGAGAUCGGAAUUCCUGGUGUAGCGGUGAAAUGCGCAGAUAUCAGGAGGAACACCGGUGGCGAAGGCGGAUCUCUGGGCCGAUACUGACGCUGAGGAGCGAAAGCGUGGGGAGCGAACAGG
rnacentral:rRNA from 1 species